rnacentral:rRNA from 1 species
GUGGGGAAUUUUGGACAAUGGGCGCAAGCCUGAUCCAGCAAUGCCGCGUGCAGGAAGAAGGCCUUCGGGUUGUAAACUGCUUUUGUACGGAACGAAACGGUCCGGGUUAAUACCCUGGGCUAAUGACGGUACCGUAAGAAUAAGCACCGGCUAACUACGUGCCAGCAGCCGCGGUAAUACGUAGGGUGCAAGCGUUAAUCGGAAUUACUGGGCGUAAAGCGUGCGCAGGCGGUUUUGUAAGACAGGCGUGAAAUCCCCGGGCUCAACCUGGGAAUUGCGCUUGUGACUGCAAGGCUGGAGUGCGGCAGAGGGGGAUGGAAUUCCGCGUGUAGCAGUGAAAUGCGUAGAUAUGCGGAGGAACACCGAUGGCGAAGGCAAUCCCCUGGACCUGUACUGACGCUCAUGCACGAAAGCGUGGGGAGCAAACAGGAUUAGAUACCCUUGUAGUCC